rnacentral:lncRNA from 1 species
UUGAUUCAACCGAUCUUCAUAUAUAAGUUUUUGACCGAUUAUGGUUUUUCGAUUCGUCGUCUGUAGAGAUGAAGAUCGUCUUCUUCAGGUGUUUACAACGAUCUCGGAGCUCCAGAUCUGAGCAUAAGUUUAUCACGGCCGGUGCUCGGCGGCGAGCAACAUCCGUACCCUAGGCGGUGCCGUACUGGUCGCCCGAUGUCCACCAAAG